AUACUACACUUGAUCGGGUCGAUGGAUGAUCCCAAGAUCCAUGGCCUAGGGUAGUGACCUCCAUUGCACUUAGGAGGGUCUUGCCUUAAGGUCUCCCAAGUUGGGAGAGCCUACGUCAUAAUUUGUGGCGGCGGGGGCUGCGGUCAUGCUGCCCCUA